AUGCAAGGUUGGAUGCUGCGGAUGGAGAGCUUCAGGGAGCGUGUUGAGGCUGCACUAGGCGAGCUCUCCAUGGCGCCGCCUGUGUUGCAGACUGCUCACGUAUUGUGCCCUUUGGUUGUGCCUGAUGACAACUUUGAGGUCGAGAAGGGAGCCGAGCUUCAUGGUCGUUUCCCCCCUCGUGCUACAGCAUGUUUGCCGGUGUCAGCCUCUGAGGGACUGGACAAUGAUGUGGUUGUUACUCCGGUGCUGCAGAUCAUGCCUGAGCUGUGGGGGUUGUGUGGGGGCUCGGUUCUGCCUCUAUCUGUCGAACAACCGAAGGUAGACCCUCCCGAGAUCUCGAUUGUGGCUUUACCGCCAUCAUCACCCCUGGAGUCUAGCCAGAUACUUGAUGCCGAGGGGUUUGAUGAUUUGGAUGUUGCAAUCUCUCGCUCGCCUAAGUCCAUUGGGUGUCAGGCGCCAGCCACCCUACCUCUAGGUGUCCUGGAGCGUGGAGUUUUAGAUGGUGGUGCCCUUCCCUCGCCUGCGACCAUCGAGCAGGUGAUGCCUGUGAGUGGCAUGACCAUUGAGCCAAGUGUGGUUGCACCCACUCCAAGUCCAGAUGCUCUCUUCGCGAAAGAACUUUGUGACUUGCUCACUAGUGUGGAUGUUGCUAGACCUGGUUUGGGCAGGUCGAUUGCUUGCCACCUGACUGGGACACCAAUAAGAGGGAAACAAAAGAAGGGGGGCAAAGGCAAGAGUAGCGCCAUAGACAAGGCGUCUCUGGCUGCUUGA
rnacentral:rRNA from 1 species